UACAGAGGUCCCAAGCGUUGUUCGGAUUCACUGGGUUUAAAGGGUGCGUAGGCGGGCAUUUAAGUCAGUGGUGAAAUACCUGAGCUUAACUUGGGAACUGCCAUUGAUACUAUUUGUCUUGAAUGUCGUGGAGGUUAGCGGAAUAUGUCAUGUAGCGGUGAAAUGCUUAGAUAUGACAUAGAACACCUAUUGCGAAGGCAGCUAACUACGCGAAUAUUGACGCUGAGGCACGAAAGCGUGGGGAUCAAACAGG
rnacentral:rRNA from 1 species